rnacentral:rRNA from 1 species
UACAGAGGGUGCGAGCGUUAAUCGGAAUUACUGGGCGUAAAGCGUGCGUAGACGGUUAUUUAAGUCGGAUGUGAAAGCCCCGGGCUCAACCUGGGAAUUGCAUUCGAGACUGAAUAGCUAGGGUACGGUAGAGGGAAGUGGAAUUUCCGGUGUAGCGGUGAAAUGCGUAGAUAUCGGGAGGAACACCAGUGGCGAAAGCGGCUACCUGGCCCAUUCUUGACGCUGAGGCGCGAAAGCUAGGGGAGCAAACGGG